AUGAGUGAUGCUCAUCGUCACUUUAUAAUAUGCAUUUCAAAAUAUUUAUUAGGAAAAGCAACUCCCAAUAAGUAUACAACCAAAUAUACUUCAGCGUGUAGUAGGUAUUGCCUAGAUUUUUACUAUUUGGAUGAUGUUUGUAACUUUUGGGGAAAUUCAAGUUUUAUAAGUUGGUUCGCCUGGCGAUGCCGGCAUCCGGCUGGCGUGUUGGUCAUUUCGGCAACCGCAGCGGUCCGGCACUUAGUUUUCGGCUUUUGAUAAGGCAACAGUUCAAUCUCCGCCGGUGGCCAUUGCAUAAGAAAUAGAAAUUUGGUUGACAUAUUAAUUUAUAAGAAGAGUAAUUUACGUUGGAGGAAGUUUUGUUUUGGUUUUGUAGUGUGGAGUGUUUCAAGAGAAGAGUUUUUAUUUUUCAACUCCGUUUUUGGAAAGCAAUGGCCACUGGUGGAGAAGGAGAAGUAGAAGAUUAAGUCAAGUCACAGCUUUUGUUUUUUUGGAAAUGGAAUAAAAUAAUUUUGGGAAAUUUUGGGCGAUUUUGUUACUUUUAUGGAAUAUAUGUUGAUUUGCCAGUCAUAGAAGCGUACCUCCUUGUGGAUGACAGUACCCCCCAGGUUUGGGGAAGAUUGGAGGAUAACUUGGAUCUCCAACCAUUCAUCUAGCAGGAUUUUGGAGAAGAAACCAGCUCUCACUUGUAGAAGCAACAGGUUUUAUAGUAAAAUUUACGUUUUCAAUUUUUGUUCAAUAAUAUCUUUCAACUUUAAUAGUUUUAAUAACUUUGAAAUAAAUAACUUUAAUAAUAAUAUAAACUCACUUUGCUAAAAUUUAAUAACUGUCUAAUAUUUAAUAUUUUUUCAACAAAUUUUACCUUUCACCGCUCACAUCAUUCAUUUAAAAUAAUCUGAAGGUUAUAAAUCAUCGUGUAAAGGUGUUGUAUACAAUAUCUAGGUGUUUAUUCCCUUAUUUCAUAACCUUUAUUUCAGUUAUUAGAUAUUGUACUCAGGUUUAUCACUUUAGGUCAGAUACGGAAUUGUCAGCCAAUAUUGUGAUCAAUAUCAAUAUAAUAUUUUUGUUUAGGUAAAUAACUUGUAAUUUCAAAUAACUGUCUUGGUAUAAUUAAUUAAAUUUUUGUGUUUUAUUUUUUUUCUGUAAAUCUCAGUGUCGACAGGAGCGUAUCCUUCUAGUACGACAGGUACUAGUUAGCUAGUGUAUAAAUUUGUAUAUAUAGGGGUUAUAGGGAUUUUUUUUUUCAUUAAAUUGGUUGGUUGUACAUACUUAUAUGUUUUAUUAUCCUACCUUUUAAUAGUAUUAGUUAGGUACAGCAAUAUAGGUCACGUGGAGAGCAAUAUAUUCUAUUCUUUCCUGGCGCUCAACACUACUUCUGAAUAUCUUCUUGGUCAAUAG
rnacentral:lncRNA from 1 species